AAGUCAGUUGUGAAAGCCUUCCGCUUAACGGAAGAACGGCAUCUGAUACUACAGGGCUUGAGUACGGGAGGGGAGAGUGGAACUUCUGGUGGAGCGGUGAAAUGCGUAGAUAUCAGAAGGAACGCCGGCGGCGAAAGCGACUCUCUGGUCCGAAACUGACGCUGAGUGUGCGAAAGCUAGGGGAGCAAACGGGAUUAGAUACCCCGGUAGUCCUAGCCGUAAACGAUGGGCACUAAGUAGAGGGGUUUUGAUUAUUUCUCUGCCGGAGCUAACGCAUUAAGUGCCCCGCCUGGGGAGUACGGCCGCAAGGCUAAAACUCAAAAGAAUUGACGGGGGCUCGCACAAGCGGUGGAGCAUGUGGCUUAAUUCGAUGCAACGCGAAGAACCUUACCGGGGCUUGACAUGGUAGAAGUAGAAUCCUGAAAGGGUGACGAGACGUUGGGUUAAGUCCCCUAACGAGCGAAACCCUUGUCUUUAGUUGCUAACGGGUAAUGCUGAGCACUUUAGAGAGACUGCCGUCGUUAAGACGGAGGAAGGUGGGGACGACGUCAAGUCAUCAUGGCCCUUAUGUCCCGGGCUGCACACGUGCUACAAUGGUCGGUACAAAGGGAUGC
rnacentral:rRNA from 1 species